AACAAGGCGUACCUGCGGACCUGCGGAGGGAUCAUUACAGGACUCGCAAGACUCCUUAAACCCCUGUGAACUUACUGUUUAUACGUUGCUUCGGCGGGUGCUCCGGGGUCCGCCCCGGGGCGCUGCGCCCGCCGGCAGCCUACUUAAUUCUGUUUCUCUGCGUUGGCAUCUCGAGUAAGCAAAAUAAGUUAAAACUUUCAGCAAUGGAUCU
rnacentral:misc_RNA from 1 species